ACUGUGGCAAGCUGUGCCUGGUUAUGGAGAUCACAGGAGUCUGAGAAGGAAACCCAGGAUUAUCAGAGGAUGACAAGUAAGCUGGGUUGGCAUUGCAGAUCCUCACACAGGAACCACGAGGGCAUGUACAUUUCUCCCCACGCUCAUGAGUCAAGAAGUUAAGAACAGAAAUAAAUAUUCACUGAAAGUGUGAAGUUGAAGACGAAAUGUGAGACCUCCUCGUUGCGGAAAUGUUUCACUCGGGAUGCGUACUCAUCUGACUGCAGAUGUUUAAUGACAUCAGGAAACCAGACAGAUAAGCCAUAGUAGC